GCAGGAGCAUCACUUGAGCCCAAGAAUUUGAGGGUACAGUGAGCUAUGACGGCACCACUGCACUGCAGCCUGGGCAACACAGCAAGACCCUGCCUCUAAAAAGAAAAAAGAAAAGAAAAAAUCCUGAAGCAGUUAUGUUGAAAAAACCAAGCACUGAAUUGUCCUAGUUUAAAGGCAUUGAAAAAUACAGAAUCCCUGUCCUCCCAUAGAAGCUCACAGUCUACUGAGGGAGAAACAGAUAAAGAUGCAAUUAUAAUCCAAGGUGAAGAGUGCAAAGGCAGAGGCACACAGAGGGUGCCAGGGAGCUCCAGGAAAGUCCCAACCCCUGCCAGACACAGACAUUCACAUUAGCAAGAAACCUGAAGAUCAAAAAUCAAAAAACCCUUUCAGAACCAAGUGGAUUGGAUACCAACUUCUAGCAAAAUUCCAAGAAUUGUGGACAGCCUGGUCCCAGCAGGAUUGGUGAGAGCUCAUGUGUGCACCAGAGUCAGAGUACACCCUGUGUCCUCCCUCCCCAAACGGGGGAGUGGUUGCUAAUGACAAUGACCAACCUUACUGGAAGAUGCUGU